rnacentral:rRNA from 1 species
AGUCGAGCGGUAGAGAGAAGCUUGCUUCUCUUGAGAGCGGCGGACGGGUGAGUAAUGCCUAGGAAUCUGCCUGGUAGUGGGGGAUAACGUUCGGAAACGGACGCUAAUACCGCAUACGUCCUACGGGAGAAAGCAGGGGACCUUCGGGCCUUGCGCUAUCAGAUGAGCCUAGGUCGGAUUAGCUAGUUGGUGGGGUAAUGGCUCACCAAGGCGACGAUCCGUAACUGGUCUGAGAGGAUGAUCAGUCACACUGGAACUGAGACACGGUCCAGACUCCUACGGGAGGCAGCAGUGGGGAAUAUUGGACAAUGGGCGAAAGCCUGAUCCAGCCAUGCCGCGUGUGUGAAGAAGGUCUUCGGAUUGUAAAGCACUUUAAGUUGGGAGGAAGGGUUGUAGAUUAAUACUCUGCAAUUUUGACGUUACCGACAGAAUAAGCACCGGCUAACUCUGUGCCAGCAGCCGCGGUAAUACAGAGGGUGCAAGCGUUAAUCGGAAUUACUGGGCGUAAAGCGCGCGUAGGUGGUUUGUUAAGUUGGAUGUGAAAUCCCCGGGCUCAACCUGGGAACUGCAUUCAAAACUGACUGACUAGAGUAUGGUAGAGGGUGGUGGAAUUUCCUGUGUAGCGGUGAAAUGCGUAGAUAUAGGAAGGAACACCAGUGGCGAAGGCGACCACCUGGACUAAUACUGACACUGAGGUGCGAAAGCGUGGGGAGCAAACAGGAUUAGAUACCCUGGUAGUCC